GACGAACGCUGGCGGCGUGCUUAACACAUGCAAGUCGAACGAUGAACUUGGAGCUUGCUCUGGGGGAUUAGUGGCGAACGGGUGAGUAACACGUGAGAAACCUGCCCUGGACUCUGGGAUAACUUCGAGAAAUCGGAGCUAAUACCGGAUAGGACCUUGCACCGCAUGGUGUGGGGUGGAAAGUUUUUCGGUUUGGGAUGGACUCGCGGCCUAUCAGCUUGUUGGUGAGGUAAUGGCUCACCAAGGCGUCGACGGGUAGCCGGCCUGAGAGGGGGACGGGCCACACGGGGACUGGGGCACGGCCCAGACUCCAGCGGGAGGCAGCAGGGGGGAAUAUUGCACAAUGGGCGCAAGCCUGAUGCAGCAACGCCGCGUGCGGGAUGACGGCCUUCGGGUUGUAAACCGCUUUUAGUAGGGAAGAAGCCUUCGGGUGACGGUACCUGCAGAAAAAGGACCGGCUAACUACGUGCCAGCAGCCGCCGUAACAC
rnacentral:rRNA from 1 species